rnacentral:rRNA from 1 species
CCUCAGUAAUGGCGAAUGAAGCGGGAAUAGCUCAAAUUUAUAAUCAGCGACGCUUGCGUCGCCGAAUUGUAGUUACCAGAAGCGUCUUCUAGGUGGAACCGGCACCGUCCAAAUUGCUUGGAACAGUAUGUCGUAGAGGGUGACAACCCCGUCUGUGGCGGUGCCGACUGCUCAUGAUGCGCUUUCGAAGAGUCGGGUUGUUUGGGAAUGCAGCCCAAAAAGGGUGGUAAACUCCAUCUAAGGCUAAAUAGUGGCACGAGACCGAUAGCGAACAAGUACCGUGAGGGAAAGAUGAAAAGCACUUUGAAAAGAGAGUUAAAAAGUACGUGAAACCGUCAAAAGGGAAACGAAUGUGGCUAGCAGUGUGCCGUGCGAGAUUCAGCCGGUGGUGGCUCUGAUCGGGCGGUCCGCGGAUCCGAAUGGACCGUAAUCGUUCGCCUUCGGGGUUUCCGACCGUCGCACUUCUCGCCGGCGCGCGCCAACGUGGGUUGAUCGCGGGUUUUCAAAGUCCUAGACAAGGUAGGCCGGACGCCUUCGGGCCCUGGCUGUUAUAGGUCCUGGACGUAUGGCCCGCGGUCGACCGAGGAUUUGUUUGCGGUGCAUGCCUUUUUUUUUAGGCAAAGGCUUCGUCUCGAUGGUCGGCGGUCGAAUGCGGUGGACUGCGUGCAGUGCGCCGCGACUGUCGCCGGUCGCCGGGGCGGGUGUCCUGUUCGAUGCUCCAAGGACGCUGGCGUCGAAAUGGCCUUAUCCGACCCGUCUUGAAACACGGACCAAGGAGUCUAACAUGUGUGCGAGUAUUUGAGUGAAGGAAACUCGACGGCACAAUGAAAGUGAAGGUGGGCUUGCCCGCCGAGGUGAGAGCCCUCUGCGACACGGGGGGUGCAUCAUCGACCGACCUAUUCUGCUCUCAGGAAGGUUUGAGUAAGAGCACAUCU